rnacentral:rRNA from 1 species
GUUAUCCGGGUUUAUUGGGCGUAAGGAGCUCGUAGGCGGUUGCGUAAGUCGGAUGUGAAAACUUGAGGCUCAACCUCGAGACGCCAUCCGAUACUGCGCUGACUUGAAUCCAGUAGGGGAGUGUGGAAUUUGUUGUGUAGCGGUGAAAUGCGCAGAUAUGACAAGGAACACCUAUGGCGAAGGCAGCACUCUGGGCUGGUAUUGACGCUGAGGAGCGAAAGCAUGGGUAGCAAACAGGAUUAGAUACCCUGGUAGUCCAUGCCGUAAACGGUGGGCACUAGGUGUGGGGACUUUCAACGGUUUCCGUGCCGAAGCUAACGCAUUAAGUGCCCCGCCUGGGGAGUACGGCCGCAAGGCUAAAACUCAAAGGAAUUGACGGGGGCCCGCACAAGCGGCGGAGCAUGUUGCUUAAUUCGAUGAUACGCGAGGAACCUUACCAGGGCUUAAAUGGCAUUUGCCUUUUGCCGAAAGGUGAUUUUUCUUCGGAACGAAUGUCAAGGUGCUGCAUGGCU